AUUUUUCAAAAAACAAUUGUGAUCAUGGACCCUAAGUACAGCAUCCAGGAUGUUGUUCGGUGCCAUCUAUGUGAGACCCAUGGUCCCCCUAUGUAUUGCGAUUUAUGUAACAUACAUUUGUGUAAAACCUGUGUGGGGGAACAUCUCUCUGAUGAAUUGAAAGAACACUAAGUAGUGUUAUUUGAAAAGAAAGGAUCUACACUUAAAUGUCAGAAACAUUCCACAAAAUUAUGUGAACUUUACUGUGAACAAUGAGACGUUCCUAUCUGCGUGCAGUGUGCUUCUUCUCAAGAGCACAAACAACACGAAUUUGCUGAUAUGGCGAUAAAACUUGAACGUCCAAAAAACAAAUUACAAGGAGAUUUACAAGAAUUAUUAAAUAUUAUUUAUCCUUAAUACAAAGAGAUUGCAUUCAAUCUAUCAGUUCAGAGAGCUGAACUGAAUAAAAGGUCCCAAGAACUGAAAACAGCUAUUGAUAAACAUGGAAAAGACUUGCACAUAGAAAUAGACAAUAUUAUCAAGAUACUAAAAUCUGGUCUUGAUGAGAUAUACUUCAAACACUCUGUUGUCGUAAAUGAACAGGAAAGUGAAAUCACACGGACCAUUUAUAAAAGUACACAGAACAUUGCUGAUCUGAAGACGUUACUGGGCUCCAAUGAUGUCAGUCUUGUCUCCGCCUACAAAUCCAGGAAUGCCGAAUUCAGAAAAUUGCCUUUUACACUCACAGUUUGCUUUCCAAAUUUUACCCCUUAAAGAACUGCUUUAUCAACAGUUCGGCCUACUGUCUGAGUCAUCUAUUAAGACAGAAGAACAUAGCUACACAAUGCGGGAUUCGUUAGGUGCUGAGUCCUCUUUCCUUAACAAAUCGCUCGUGCCACAGGUCAUCACAGAUAUAAAUACUGAAUAUGGGCAGAAUAAACUACGCAGUGUGUGUCCUGUCUGAAUGAUGAAGAUACAUGUGUUUGGACGUGUGUUGAGAAUAAAAGCAUGAAACUCUACAACCUCCGGGGGCAACUACUCAACUCAGUCCAAACCAAAGAAGGGAACAGACCAUGGGACAUAGCUGCAAUAAUGUAGCCCUCUCCCGAUUUCUUUUUUUUUUUUUUGGGGGGGGGGGAGGGCUACAACUCCAUAGAAUCUCCGUAAUGGUGCAAGUGCGGGAGUGAUUCACUCUCGCAACGAUUUCGUCUCAAAUCGUUUAUAAAUGACAAUAACAUUUGCAUUUCUUACCUGAACUCAAACGUUGUAGAUGUCUAUGGCAUAAAUUAAUCCAAAAAU
rnacentral:sRNA from 1 species